UCUCAAAGUAAAAAUUGUUACGAUUUAAUCAUCGAAAUAAAAAACACUAUUUAAAUAGUGUCUUUAAUUAAAAUAUCUAACGAAACACUGAAAAAUUAGUUUGUUUAUUGUAGUGCUUCAUUUUCGUAUAAAGCUUUUGCGGUUUUUUUUCUGAAAAUUGAUCAAAAUCGCAAAGCGAGCUCUCGCCGCUAGAAACUCGUCAUGUUCACGGAUGUAUGUAUCCGCGCCGCCGGGUUCCGAAAGCAUCACUCCGUGACAGAGCAUCUAUCAUUUGGCUAUGGAAACGGCCGCCAACCGUCACACUGGCCGGAGUGUUGUAGUGGGGAUACAUUUCCGACGGCCGUAUCGGUGGCGUGACUAUCCUGAGACCAAUUGGCUCGAUUGUAUUCGGUUGUGUGUCGUUCCACCCAGGAGAAAAUGAGGCAAUUCUUCAACCUGCACCUGUCCGGAUUAGACCAAGCAGCUACAACCCGUUGAUAGCCUGUCAGAUGAAUUUCGUUUUUCUGGGGUUCAGUUUGAUUGAUGAAACCCAAGCAAUGGCAUUCAUUAGCACUAGUUUUGCAGAAAUGGUGCGAUUAUUAAUGAUUAUCCGUACAAAAUCGUCAUUAACCAAAUCAGUUGAAUGUGGAUCUGAACCGGAACUUGGUUUUAUUACGUAAGCAGACACCUCGGAAGAUAUUAUUCAAUAAUAAAGAAUGAUGUGAUGGAUAAUUCGCACGUUGCCUUAUAUUUCGGAAUGUUU